CUGAAAACACCGGUUUGCAUUCGUUCACCGAAGUGAAGCAGUGUUGAACCCAGUCAGUACUUAGAUGGGGGUGACCGCUUGGAAACACCGGAUACUGUA